CUUAUGUUUUGCUUCUUUU
rnacentral:sRNA from 1 species